rnacentral:rRNA from 1 species
AAAGCGUGCGCAGGCGGUUUUGUAAGUCAGAUGUGAAAUCCCCGAGCUUAACUUGGGAACUGCGUUUGAAACUACAAGACUAGAGUGUGUCAGAGGGGGGUAGAAUUCCACGUGUAGCAGUGAAAUGCGUAGAGAUGUGGAGGAAUAUCAAUGGCGAAGGCAGCCCCCUGGGAUAACACUGACGCUCAUGCACGAAAGCGUGGGGAGCAAACAGGAUUAGAUACCCCAGU